GUUUGAUUGGACAAGUCACAGGAACUCCUCAGGAACAUGAUGGAGCUAUCAUGGAGAUACCAUCUAAACAACUGUAGAAACCACCCUCUAUCACCUGUCGAACUACAAUGGAAGACUCAUAAGACAAGCUGAGAAGACUCAAGAGUUGGUCACCCAAUACUUAGAGUCAAGUCAUUGAACUUUUGACCGUGACCAUGUCUUCAUGGUCUUCAUUCACAACCACAACCAUACCACAACCAUACCACCCAGCUGGUCCUUGUGCUUUUACUCUAAUGCUCCCAAGGUGUACUUACCCAUGAUCACAAACAUGUACAGAGCACAAACACUCACGAACUGGAGUUUCUUGAGCAAUGAAUGUUAUCAAACAUUGAUGAUGUCACUGACACAUCCUCAUCUAAUCGUCACCCAUCCUGCUCUCCAGCCAAUGUCUGCUCUCCCACCCUUUACCCCUACACAUCCUCUCCCCUCUCCCCUGUACCCCUCUCUACACCUCCUCUUACUGAGCUGCCCCUCACUCUCCUCCCCCUUGCGCCUUCACCUCUCUUCCCCUCCUUCCCUCCCCCACCCCUGCUGCUACUUGCUUACAGAAGGACAGGAGCAGAGGAGUGGACUUCCCUCCCCCUUGCACCAUCUCAGACAGUAUUAUUACCAUAGUGUUUGGUAAGGAGAGACAUAGUGUAGGGUAGCGUCUAUCCCAGUGAUGAGAGUUUCUUCCCUGCAUGAUUCCAGAAUCGAACGACAUUACUGUUUCAGCGCGUGGAGCCGCCCUCCCCCAUCCAGGACGGGCCUCUCAGCCUCCCUCCUACCCAACCGGCAGACCCCGUCAACAGCCUGUGAGUAGACCCCUGUCCCCCCCCUCCAACUCUCUCUCUCUGGGUCUCUCUGUCCUCUCCCUCUCUCUCUGUUUUCUCUCUCCCUCUUUCUUUGCAGCCAGAGGGAGGAUGGGUAGUGGCUCCACAGGUGGAGUGUCAUCCAUGAGAAGGAGGAGCAGGACGACACGCUGGGCGGACACGCCUCACGUGUAGAGGACCACUGUGUGUAUGUGUAUGUGCGUGUGUAGUGGGUUCAGAAAGGCUGGUGUAUGGGUUUGUG
rnacentral:lncRNA from 1 species